AUGAAUGGAGUGGAUCAGGAUAUCGAUGAUGAGCCUAGGAAAAGGAGGAAAAAGCUCAAGCGAUUGGCGACUUUGGCAUAUCAUGUUGGGUGUAUGAGUGACAUGGGUAAUCACUACACCAAAACCUAUCUACCAAAAGAACCAUAUAGGAUUCCAGAACAAACUGGUUAUGAAUGGGUUAUGGAAACUCUUGGUCACAAAAGGAGUUGUUAUAGGAUGUUUCGGAUGAGUCGAAGAGUAUUUGAGUCAUUGCACAAUAUCCUAGUGUCUCAUUAUGGAUUGAAGUCAAGCAGAGAAGUGACAUCGUAA
rnacentral:rRNA from 1 species